AUUGAACGCUGGCGGAAUGCUUUACACAUGCAAGUCGAGCGGCAGCGCGGGGCAACCUGGCGGCGAGCGGCGAACGGGUGAGUAAUGUAUCGGAACGUAUCCUUAAGUGGGGGACAACUAGUCGAAAGACUAGCUAAUACCGCAUACGAUCGAGAGAUGAAAGUGGGGGACCGCAAGGCCUCACGCUUUUGGAGCGGCCGAUAUCCGAUUAGCUUGUUGGUGAGGUAAAGGCUUACCAAGGCGACGAUCGAUAGCUGGUCUGAGAGGAUGAUCAGCCACACUGGAACUGAGACACGGUCCAGACUCCUACGGGAGGCAGCAGUAGGGAAUUUUGCGCAAUGGACGAAAGUCUGACGCAGCAACGCCGCGUGGGUGAUGAAGGUCUUCGGAUUGUAAAACCCUGUCGCCAGGGACGAAGGGUGGGGCGUGAAUAGCGUUCUACUUUGACGGUACCUGGAAAGGAAGCCCCGGCUAACUCUGUGCCAGCAGCCGCGGU
rnacentral:rRNA from 1 species